GCCACAUGAUGUUUUAUAGAUAAAUGAAAUAUUUUUAAGAUUACUUGUUAUCUAUCACCCUUGACUGAUGGCA